GAUGAACGCUAGCUACAGGCUUAACACAUGCAAGUCGAGGGACCGGCGCACGGGUGAGUAAUACGUAUCCAACCUGUCCUUUACUCGGGGAUAGCCUUUCGCAAGAAAGAUUACUACCCGAUAUAAAGGAUGGGGAUGCGUUCCAUUAGGUUGUUGGUAAGGGAACGGCUAACCAAGCCUUCGAAGGAUAGGGGUUCUGAGGGGAAGCUACACCACAAUGGAACUGAGACACGGUCCAAAAGCGUACGGGGCAGAGGAGUGUGGAAUAGUGGGCAAGGAACGCUAGCCUGAACCAGCCGAGUGGCGUGAAGAAGGAAGGCUUAGGGGUCGUAAACUUCUUGUAUAUAAGAAUAUGUAUUAUAUGAAUAAGGAUCGGCUAACUCCGUGCCAGCAGCCGCGGUAAUAC
rnacentral:rRNA from 1 species